rnacentral:rRNA from 1 species
UACGUAGGGACCGAGCGUUGUCCGGAAUCAUUGGGCGUAAAGAGCGUGCAGGCGGCCUUUUAAGUCCUGCGUGAAAUCCUGCGGCUCAACCGCAGACGGUCGUGGGAAACUGGAAGGCUAGAGUGCGGGAGAGGAGAGUGGAAUUCCCGGUGUAGCGGUGAAAUGCGCAGAUAUCAGGAGGAACACCGAUGGCGAAGGCAGGUCUCUGGGCCACUACUGACGCUGAGAAGCGAAAGCAUGGGGAGCGAACAGG